CCUACGGGGGGCAGCAGUGGGGAAUAUUGGACAAUGGGCGAAAGCCUGAUCCAGCCAUGCCGCGUGUGUGAAGAAAGCCUUCGGGUUGUAAAGCACUUUCAGUGGGGAAGAAAGCCUUGGGGCUAAUACCCUCGAGGAAGGACAUCACCCACAGAAGAAGCACCGGCUAACUCCGUGCCAGCAGCCGCGGUAAUACGGAGGGUGCGAGCGUUAAUCGGAAUUACUGGGCGUAAAGCGCGCGUAGGCGGUCUGAUAAGCCGGUUGUGAAAGCCCUGGGCUCAACCUGGGAACGGCAUCCGGAACUGUCAGGCUAGAGUGCAGGAGAGGAAGGUAGAAUUCCCGGUGUAGCGGUGAAAUGCGUAGAGAUCGGGAGGAAUACCAGUGGCGAAGGCGGCCUUCUGGACUGACACUGACGCUGAGGUGCGAAAGCGUGGGUAGCAAACAGGAUUAGAUACCCGAGUAGUC
rnacentral:rRNA from 1 species